rnacentral:rRNA from 1 species
AUUGAACGCUGGCGGCAUGCCUUACACAUGCAAGUCGAACGGUAACGGGCCUUCGGGCGCCGACGAGUGGCGAACGGGUGAGUAAUACAUCGGAACGUGCCCGAUCGUGGGGGAUAACGAGGCGAAAGCUUUGCUAAUACCGCAUACGAUCUACGGAUGAAAGCAGGGGACCGCAAGGCCUUGCGCGGACGGAGCGGCCGAUGGCAGAUUAGGUAGUUGGUGGGAUAAAAGCUUACCAAGCCGACGAUCUGUAGCCGGUCUGAGAGGAUGAUCAGCCACACUGGGACUGAGACACGGCCCAGACUCCUACGGGAGGCAGCAGUGGGGAAUUUUGGACAAUGGGCGCAAGCCUGAUCCAGCCAUGCCGCGUGCAGGAUGAAGGCCUUCGGGUUGUAAACUGCUUUUGUACGGAACGAAAAGCCUUCUUUUAAUACAGGAGGGUCAUGACGGUACCGUAAGAAUAAGCACCGGCUAACUACGUG